UUGGAGGGCAAGUCUGGUGCCAGCAGCCGCGGUAAUUCCAGCUCCAAUAGCGUAUAUUAAAGUUGUUGCAGUUAAAAAGCUCGUAGUUGAAUUCGGGAUCAGAGUGUCGGUCGUGCCUCGGUACGCACUGGUAUUAUUGGUUCCUACCUUCUGAAGAACCGCGAUGUCAUUAAUUUGGUGUCGUGGGGAAUCAGGACUGUUACUUUGAAAAAAUUAGAGUGUUUAAAGCAGGCUUACGCUUGAAUACAUUAGCAUGGAAUAAUGAAAUAGGACGUUUGAUUCUAUUUUGUUGGUUUCUAGGAUUGACGUAAUGAUUAAUAGGGAUAGUUGGGGGCAUUAGUAUUCAAUUGUCAGAGGUGAAAUUCUUGGAUUUAUUGAAGACUAGCUACUGCGAAAGCAUUUGCCAAGGAUGUUUUCAUUAAUCAAGAACGAAAGUUAGGGGAUCGAAGACGAUCAGAUACCGUCGUAGUCUUAACCAUAAACUAUGCCGACUAGGGAUCGGAUGACGUUAAUUUUUUAAUGACUCAUUCGGCGCCUUACGGGAAACCAAAGUGUUUGGGUUC
rnacentral:rRNA from 1 species